GCCCUGAUGGCGGAAUUGGUAGACGCGCUGGACUCAAAAUCCAGUGGCCUUUAAAGCCGUGCGGGUUCGAUUCCCGCUUGGGGCACGA
rnacentral:tRNA from 1 species